ACCACUGCGCCGACCAUGGCGUCGGCCACCGCCGAUGGACUGACACCGCCCUGACCUGCAGAGGAUGAGGACCAACCAAAUGAUGAAGAUGAGGAUGAAAACUCAAACAAGUCUGCCCAACAACGUACAAAUCUUUACCAAUCGCUUCAUGACUCUGAGUUGAUCCUACAUCUGGUUGCUGCAAAGCAGUUCUGUUACUGCACAGACCUGUUCCCAGAGCUGGAAAGGCCACCGAUCUGAACUUGUUCUCCUCACAGACCUUCAGGACUCCCUGAACAAUUUCCUUGAUCUUAGUCGCAUCGUUCUGGCCGACGAUGUGGAUGAUGUUGCUGGAGGGAAGCUGACCGCCUGAGGUCAAGAUCAUGGAACGAGGCAUGGAGCCCGGAGACUUCACUGCAGAGGAAACAUGUUCAUUCACACAGUUUGGAAAGAUCUUACACACAUCUCUA